rnacentral:lncRNA from 1 species
GAUCCCCUCCUCUCAUUCGAUGGGGUUCUCCUAUGGCAUAUAGGGGUGCUAUGCAAUUUUUUUUCUAUGAAGAUGAAUGGUGAAAAGAGAUUAGUAAUUUAUUUUAGAUCUAAUAUAUUGAUUGUUAGAUCUGAAAUUUAUUUACUAUUGAUUGCAUGAAAACUUGUGAAACAUUUUAUAAAAUUGGAAACCAUUUUCAAAUACCAAAUCCCAACCCA